rnacentral:rRNA from 1 species
AGAGUUUGAUCAUGGCUCAGAACGAACGCUGGCGGCGUGCUAAUACAUGCAAGUCGCGCGUGAAAGAGGGGCAACCCUCGAGUAAAGCGGCAAACGGGUGAGUAACACGUAAGCAAUCUUCCUUCAAGUCUGGGAUAACCCUGCCAACGCGGGGCUAAUACCUGAUGUCAUACCGAAGUCGCAUGGCUUUGGUAUUAAAGAUGGCCUCUACUUGUAAGUUAUCGCUUGAAGAUGAGCUUGCGGCCCAUUAGCUAGUUGGCGGGGUAACGGCCCACCAAGGCUGUGAUGGGUAUCCGGCCUGAGAGGGUGUACGGACACAUUGGGACUGAGAUACGGCCCAGACUCCUUCGGGGGGCAGCAGUAGGGAAUUUUGCGCAAUGGACGUAAGUCUGACGCAGCAACGCCGCGUGAGUGAUGAAGGUCUUCGGAUUGUAAAGCUCUGUUGAGUGGGAAGAAAAGUUAUGGUUCUAAUAAAACCGUAGCCUGACGGUACCACUCGAGGAAGCACCGGCUAACUACGUGCCAGCAGCCGCGGUAAUACGUAGGGUGCAAGCGUUGUUCGGAAUCACUGGGCGUAAAGGGAGCGUAGGCGGAAUUGUAAGUUAGGAGUGUAAUACCCGGGCUUAACCCGGGUCUUGCUUUUAAUACUGCAAUUCUUGAGUUUGGAAGAGGGAGAUGGAAUUCCAGGUGUAGCGGUGGAAUGCGUAGAUAUCUGGAAGAACACCAGUAGCGAAGGCGGUCUCCUGGUCCUAUACUGACGCUGAGGCUCGAAAGUUAGGGGAGCAAACAGGAUUAGAUACCCUGGUAGUCCUAACUAUAAACUAUGGAUACUAGAUGCUGGGGGAGUCAAUCUUUCCAGCGUCGUAGCUAACGCAUUAAGUAUCCCGCCUGGGAAGUACGCCCGCAAGGGUGAAACUCAAAGGAAUUGACGG